CACGUAGGGGGCGAGCGUUGUCCGGAUUUAUUGGGCGUAAAGAGCUCGUAGGCGGCUCGGUAAGUCAACUGUGAAAGCUCCGGGCUCAACUCGGAGAGGCCAGUUGAUACUGCUGUGGCUAGAGUCCGGUAGGGGAGCGUGGAAUUCCUGGUGUAGCGGUGAAAUGCGCAGAGAUCAGGAGGAACACCAGCGGCGAAGGCGGCGCUCUGGGCCGGAACUGACGCUGAGGAGCGAAAGCGUGGGUAGCAAACAGG
rnacentral:rRNA from 1 species